GACGAACGCUGGCGGUGUGCUUAACACAUGCAAGUCGAACGGUAAGGCCCUUUCGGGGGUACACGAGUGGCGAACGGGUGAGUAACACGUGAGUAACCUGCCCUCAUCUCUGGGAUAACAGUCGGAAACGGUUGCUAAUACUGGAUAUGAGCUUGCAAGGCAUCUUGUGGGUUGGAAAGAUUUUUUGGUUGGGGAUGGACUCGCGGCCUAUCAGCUUGUUGGUGAGGUAGUGGCUCACCAAGGCUUCGACGGGUAGCCGGCCUGAGAGGGCGACCGGCCACAUUGGGACUGAGAUACGGCCCAGACUCCUACGGGAGGCAGCAGUGGGGAAUAUUGCACAAUGGACGGAAAGUCUGAUGCAGCAAACGCC
rnacentral:rRNA from 2 species